rfam:Stegodyphus mimosarum contig6263, whole genome shotgun sequence.
GCCUUCGUGGUAUAGUGGUCAGCACGCUGGGCGCGUAUUCCAAAGGUCCAUGGUUCAAGUCCCGGCGAAGGCG